rnacentral:lncRNA from 1 species
UUAAUUCAUGGAUCAUUGAAAUCUAAUAACCUGAUUAACAAUGUAUUCAAUGCUUUUUAUUUUAUUUUUCCUUUUUUGGUGAUCGAGAGAACCGUCUUCUUACCGCCAUACAUAUCAACGUGGUCCUAAAUUCCAGUAAGACCUUUGAUUAUAAGCCACUCAAAUGAUUUUGUUCGUGCAAGUGAAACAUCGGCAUCCUGUAACCUAUAUCAAACAACACAUACUAAUGAUAUAAUUAGAGAGAACCCAAGGAUGCGCCAAAACCAACCUAUUAAUCUUCUCCUCCAUAACAAACCAAAGAAAAAUGAACGAUCAUAAUUUAUAUUAUAUAACGUCAACCCUCUCAACAUUAACAGAUGCAGCAAUCUAAGGCGAUUAUCUUUAACAUUUACAAAAUAGAAUCUUAAACAUCCAAGACUUUUCAACUCUCUCGGAAAAUAGAUAAUAUACAAAAUCCCGUCUACACUCCAAUCACAAUGCUUCCCAUGAAAACUUCAUAAACUGCAACACCAGCGUGGGCUUCAACGUUUGAUAACAACUGCAUCACAAUCACAACAUGACGAAUCAAAAUGAGGUUCCUCUAAGAACCGAAUAUUGAGAUAACAUCAUUUUUGCAAUUGUAGAGGCAAGUCAAAGCAACCACAUCAACGGUCCCAUACCUGAUCUAAGCAACUCUAUGGUAAACAGAAAAGGUACAUCAGUGAUUUCAUUGAACACUAACUUUAACCUAAGACCAAGGACGAGGAACAACAAUCCAGCAAUAUACCACAAUCAUCCUCUUCACCUGCAGUUUGUUCAUAUACUACCUGACUAAACUAAUAACACUACACAAAAAGACCUCAAAGUUGAAACCUCACAUGAACAGCUGACAACAGGCAAUCAGUAGCAUCCUUUGGUAUCAUUGUACACUGUAUAACCACAUGGGACCCUUCAGCAUCAAAGAAGUUCAUACUUAACAAUCUUAUAAGGCCAUGACCCCACGAGAGUUUGGUCAAAUCUCCGGGUAAGUGUUAGGCAAGGCAAAUAACAACCGCAAACGUGAAGAAAGUAACAGGGAUAUAAACCUGAAACGGAAUACACUUCAGUAACCUUUUAACUUCACCCCACGAGAGUUUGGUCAAAUCUCUGGGUAAGUGUUACCUUGCAUCAAGUAAUACAUGAACCGAUGAAAGGGAAGGCAACUAAGCACCUCAAAAAUGAAGUAACAAGAAUAUAAACUAAAACGGGAUAGACACUUCAAUAACCUUUUAACUUCCCCCUACGUAGAAGAUUGUAAGCCUCUCAGAGUUGUCUUCCUACACAAAAUGUUUAAAUGUUGUGCAUUUCAACCAAUGAGACACAAAGCUUAUAUAAUCAAGUAUUUAUCGUCCCAGUAAAUCUGUAAGCAAAACUCACUUGUCUAGUCUCUUCCUGCAAACAUAACACUCGCUUGUCCCUUCUUUAAAAUUCUGCCUCGUACAGGAAAACACAUCUUUCUUUUUGGAAUAAAAAUCACCUUCAGUGAACUCAAAAAGACUUUCCCAUGAAAACUUCACAAACUGCAACCCUAACAUAGGCUUCAAUGUGUGACGGAGCAUAUUAAGGUUCACGAGAUGAUUAGUUGAGGAAACAUCACUUCCCCAAUCGUAAGAUCUCAACAAAAGUAACUAGAAUGGAGAUUUUUCGUGUUAGCCAGAGAGUUUUUCCCUGCAAGCCAAUAUGUCCAAGGACUACGAUUUGGAGGUAACAAUCCUACAACAUAUUUAAUCAAUCUCCACCAGAAGUAAGCAUAUUAAGCCUCACCUGAAAGCAAACAACACAUGUGUCCCCCACAAAAAUCAAUUGAGGACUUCAUUAUCAAAUGUUUCAGAACCAUUAAAACCAGCCAGGAAGAAAGAAACCUCAGAAGUCAGAAAUAAAGACGAAUAUCAUCAAAACCAAUGUGCCUGCUAUGAGCCAGCCCCCAUGAGGUCACACAACCAGCAAGAAUCACUUAAAUAAAUACCUAACUGAAGAGAAUAUGAGCAUACACCAUGACCAUUACUAACAAUCAGUGUGGACCUACAAAAUAACUCGAUGUGGCAGACUAGCAGUUUUAUGACCACCAAAAUACGAUGUAUAAAUGUUGAGGUAUAUGAUGAAACCUAUAAUCUUCAAAAGCUUCAGACAUUAACCAGAUAUUGCUGAAAAACUGAGAAUCAUCAUCAAAAGGCCAGAAGACUAAAUCUUAAAAUCAAUAGAACAAGUAUAAACUCUGAGCGUCCACACCUUCAGAUAUGUCAGCCUACAGAGUUUUUCAACCAUCCUGUCCAGGUAAAUCCCAGAGCAUGAAACAGAAGAGUCACCAAAACAAAAAGUUUUUAUGCAUAACUGACGAGCGAACUCAAAGAACCUUCAAUGUUACCUUCUCUUGCUGGAGAACAGACCAACCCAUAAGUAAAAUAUACUGGAUCCUCAAAAUCUGUAGCACAGUUCCGCUCAGAGAGAAGCAGAAGACAACAAAAUUAAUAGCAUCAACUCUCAGGAAAUAAAUAGCCUCGUCAAAGCAGAAACAAAGAAGAAAAGAUGGAACCCUUCAAUUGGAGGUUGGAGCUUACUUUUCUUUAAUACCCAGUAAACUAUAACAGUCAGAAGUAAUUCAAAAAUCAACAAAGACGCAAUAAUCAAAAGCCAAAGAAACCUAAGAAUCAAACCUCAGAAGAAAAGUAGCUCAUAACACCUGACCUGGAUCUACCAGAUAUGGAAGAUCCAAAUUUGUCCCUACUGAGAGAUAACUAGGCAAAUUCAUGAUGUACAGUUACAGGGAGUGUAGUCGAGCAGACCAAAACCUUUGCAAAAUCAAACUCCAAUGCAAUGAUAAGUUUCAUCCAGUAGUAGCAAUUAGCAUCUAUAUAGAAAAGAUGCAGCAGACAGGAACUGAUCACAUCUCCACCAAAUAUAAUAGUAACCAAAACAAAAAAAAAGGCACACCACGGGUUAAGAAAAUACUGCAAAUUCAAACUUCGAUGCCCAAAAAAACCAAUAAGAGAUCCUGGCUCCUUCACAUCCUCAACAUACCAAAAAAUCAAAAGAAUCUCCCCCCUAUCACAGUCCAGAGCUCAGGAAGUGCAACAGACUUCAAAAUCCAGGAUGUACGAAACAACAGAUUGCAGAAAAUCCAAAAAAGAGGAACAAGAAAACCUGAGUAACAACAUGUCUAGCUUUCUGCAUAAGAGGCACUCAGACUUGAAGCUGUUCAAUACAAAAAAAUAAUUUAGUAGACACAUCUAUGAUGAAAAGGACAGGAAAAACAUUAGAGUUAGCAAUCAUCAGAUACAUAAAAGCAUUGAAUACAAAAACUAGGUAAAAGGACAAGACAUAGGAACAAACUCGUUUGGGAGGGAUCUAUGAUCAUCUUUAGUCUGAGUGUGUGAGGUGAAUUGUGAAGAAAUUCUGGGAAACAGAGACACAGGAAAAAUCAUACCUCACCAACAAUACAACAGCCAACUUUUAAGUAAAAAAUGAAUGGGUAAAAAGGUAUGUAGAUGCAAAGUAACCAGAGACACGAUAUAGGCAAACCAUCUUUCCCUCUCAUUAUGCUUGAACCUUUCUCCAAAAUUAGAAAAGAAAACAUCAAGUAAUAGGGAAAUAAGAAACCAAAAAAAUAAAACAAAAGGAGAUAAGAAACCGCCAGAGAGGUAACAUGAAGCACAAGAUCAAACACAUCUUUAAGCUCAAAAUAUAUACCUAUAAACAAAAGAAGAAUUUCACAUCAGAAAAAAAAACCACGCCACAAGAAUAUGAGAGUAUGAUAAGACUCUAAACAUAGAUGUAGCAUAAAAGAUAAGACCAACAGAAAGAAAGGGGAAAGAAACCAGUUAGUAGCCGGACGUUUCUCUCUUUUAGAACCUCACAACCUAUAACAAAAGAUCAUAAAACAUAGAUGCUAACAUCACUAGCAAGAUCAGCAGACAUUACUAUUAACCUGAAACAUCCAAUAACAAAGUAUAUGGAAACAAUCAUAUUGCUGAAAGAAUGCACAAGGAAAAGAAAACGAAAAACCUGAACACACAUGACCAGCCUUCUGCAUCAGAGAUCUCAGACUUAGCAGAUCUAAUAGACAUAAGACAUUCAAUACAAAAUAAACUUUAAAAAGAAAAGUAUAAGAACAAACUCCUCUCAUAUGAAUGUGUGGAGACACAGCAGAGACUCUUAGAGAAGUGACUGAUGUUGAAAAUCUGGAAAACACAGAGUAGAGCACCGAUCAAACCUAACCAACUAUAGCCAACAUUGAAUAAAUCAACCAAUAGCAAAAAGUGUAUAUAUGCGAAGUAACCAGAAACUCGUUUGGGAGGACUGUAUGAUCAUCUUUAGUCUGAUUGUGUAAACGGAAACAGAAUGAAGUGGUUUGUGAAGAAAAUCUGGGACACAGACACAGGAAAAAUCAUACCUCACCAGCAAUAUCAAUCUUAAAUUAAACAAUCUAUAGAUAAAAAGUUGUAUAGAUGUGAAGGAACCAGAAACCAAUAUAAUAUGCAACCCUUCCUUUUCUCCCGCAAUGCCUUGAACUUCUACAAUCUAAAUAGAAACUUCUCCAAAAAUUAAAAAAGAAAAACAUCAGGUAAUAUGGAAAUAAGAAACCCUAAAAAUAAGACAAUGGGAGAUAAGAAAACCGCCAGAGAGGUAGCAGGGAACCAUUAGAUAAAAAUCUUUCAAACUCGAUAUAUAUACCUACAAAGAAGGGGACCAUUUGACAUAAAAAACCCACCGUCAAAAGCAUAUGAAGAGAGUAUGAUCAAAUACUAAAAAUAGAUGUAACAUGAGAGAUAACAUACUACCAACAUAAAUAAAGGGGAAAAAAACAUAGUAACCUGACGCUUCUCUUUUUAGAACUCACUGCCUUAAAUAGAAGACAAAGACUUGUAAGCAUAAAAUAUAAGUGCUAACAUCGCUAAGAAGAUCUGUUAACCUGAAACAUCCAAUAACAACUCUGUGGAGACAACAGAUUGCUGAAAGAUACCCAAACGAAUAACAUUCAAUACAGAAACUACUUGCAAAGGAAAAAUAAAAAGAGUAAAUGAACAAACUCAUUAGGAAGGUAAUUCAAGGUCAUCUUUCAUAUGGAUAUGUGAAGACAGCAGAGAAACAGAGAGAAGAGACUGAUGUAGAAAUCUGGAAACACACAAUAAGACACACAGGACAGAUCAUAAUCAACCAACAACAAAAGCCUAAAAUAAUAUAAAACAACCAAUAACAAAAAGGUGAAUAGAUGUGAGUUAACCAGAAACACGAAAUCAUACUCAACCAAGCCUUCUCUCCCACAAUGCCUUCAACUUCUUAGAUCUAAACCAAAGAUUUCACCCAAAAAAAUUAGAAGGAAAACCACACGUAAUAUAGGACUCUAAAAAGGAAACAAAGGGGAAUAAGAAAACAGCCAAAGAUGUAACAUCAGGGAGCGACGACAGAUCAAAUAUAUCCUUCAAGAUAAACUGAGACGGAAUAGAACAGAGGUAAUCGUGAUUGUAACAAGGAAAGUAAAAAAUAUGUAACACGAGAAAUCAGAAGAAACCAACAGAUAGGGGAGAAGAAAUCUACAACACAGCAAUCCCAUUGCCUCCACGAUCUGCGUCAAACAGAGAGAUAUCGCUUAUGUAGAAAAAGCCAAAAAAAACAAAAAGUAUUGGGAAAGAGGAGAAAAAUCAAACAGAUAUAACGAUCAAUCAAACCAUCACCGGUCGAUCUUAGUAUCUUCCACAAUCACCAAUCAAUCAUAGUACCCUCCUAAAUCAAAAAUAGAACGAGGAGUAAAUAUAACAUAAAUUGAAAAAGGUAAAAAUUCAGAAGCUAGAUCGAGGAUCGGAUCAAAAAAUCGAUUUAAGACGUAGCCUAGAGAAACCAGGUGACAAAGAUCCAAAAAAACCAAUCACCGAUCAUAGCAUCAUCCAAGAUCUACAACAACAUGACGACAAGGAAACAAAAAGUGGUGAAAAUACAGAAUCGAAAGAGAUGAUCGGAUCAUAAUUGGCAUCCAAAACAUCUGCGAGACGAAGAGACGUAAGUAAGAAAACGAAAAUCAGAGGAAGAGCACCCCCUGAAGACGUAGCGCAGAGACGCAACAGAGAAACAACAAAUCCACCAAAGCCAUCACCAAGAGAUCAAAGCAUCGAUCCAUCACCAAGAGUAAACCACAUGAACANNN